UACGGAGGGUGCAAGCGUUAUCCGGAUUCACUGGGUUUAAAGGGUGCGUAGGUGGGCAGUUAAGUCAGUGGUGAAAUCUCCGAGCUUAACUCGGAAACUGCCAUUGAUACUGUUUUGCUAGAGUGCAGAAGGGGCAAUCGGAAUUCUUGGUGUAGCGGUGAAAUGCGUAGAUAUCAAGAGGAACACCUGAGGUGAAGACGGGUUGCUAGGCUGACACUGACGCUGAGGCGCGAAAGCCAGGGGAGCAAACGGG
rnacentral:rRNA from 1 species